AACGAACGCUGGCGGCAGGCCUAACACAUGCAAGUCGAGCGCGCCCUUCGGGGUGAGCGGCGGACGGGUGAGUAACGCGUGGGAACGUGCCCUUUUCUACGGAAUAGCCUCGGGAAACUGAGAGUAAUACCGUAUACGCCCUUUGGGGGAAAGAUUUAUCGGAAAAGGAUCGGCCCGCGUUGGAUUAGGUAGUUGGUGGGGUAAUGGCCUACCAAGCCGACGAUCCAUAGCUGGUUUGAGAGGAUGAUCAGCCACACUGGGACUGAGACACGGCCCAGACUCCUACGGGAGGCAGCAGUGGGGAAUCUUAGACAAUGGGGGCAACCCUGAUCUAGCCAUGCCGCGUGAGUGAUGAAGGCCUUAGGGUUGUAAAGCUCUUUCAGCUGGGAAGAUAAUGACAGUACCAGCAGAAGAAGCCCCGGCUAACUCCGUG
rnacentral:rRNA from 1 species